rnacentral:rRNA from 1 species
UUCUACGGCCAUACCACCCUGAACGCGCCCGAUCUCGUCUGAUCUCGGAAGCUAAGCAGGUCGGGCCCGGUUAGUACUUGGAUGGGAACCGCCUGGGGGAAUAACCGGGUUGCUGUAGGCU